CCUACGGGUGGCAGCAGUGGGGAAUAUUGGACAAUGGGCGAAAGCCUGAUCCAGCCAUGCCGCGUGUGUGAAGAAGGCCUUCGGGUUGUAAAGCACUUUCAGUGGGGAAGAAAGCCUUGGGGCUAAUACCCUCGAGGAAGGACAUCACCCACAGAAGAAGCACCGGCUAACUCCGUGCCAGCAGCCGCGGUAAUACGGAGGGUGCGAGCGUUAAUCGGAAUUACUGGGCGUAAAGCGCGCGUAGGCGGUCUGAUAAGCCGGUUGUGAAAGCCCCGGGCUCAACCUGGGAACGGCAUCCGGAACUGUCAGGCUAGAGUGCAGGAGAGGAAGGUAGAAUUCCCGGUGUAGCGGUGAAAUGCGUAGAGAUCGGGAGGAAUACCAGUGGCGAAGGCGGCCUUCUGGACUGACACUGACGCUGAGGUGCGAAAGCGUGGGGAGCAAACAGGAUUAGAUACCCCUGUAGUC
rnacentral:rRNA from 1 species